rnacentral:rRNA from 1 species
UGGCAAGCGUUAUCCGGAUUUAUUGGGCGUAAAGCGAGCGCAGGCGGUUCGAUAAGUCUGAAGUUAAAGGCUGUGGCUUAACCAUAGUAUGCUUUGGAAACUGUUCAACUUGAGUGCAGAAGAGGAGAGUGGAACUCCAUGUGUAGCGGUGAAAUGCGUAGAUAUAUGGAAGAACACCAGUGGCGAAAGCGGCUCUCUGGUCUGUAACUGACGCUGAGGUUCGAAAGCGUGGGUAGCAAAC